UACGUAGGUGGCAAGCGUUGUCCGGAUUUACUGGGCGUAAAGGGCGUGCAGGCGGUCUGUUAAGUCUAGGGUGAAAGCUCCCGGCUCAACUGGGAGGGGUCAGGCGAUACGGCGGGGCUCGAGGCCGGUAGGGGGACGCGGAAUUCCCGGUGUAGUGGUGGAAUGCGUAGAUAUCGGGAGGAACACCAGUGGCGAAGGCGGCGUCCUGGACCGGCACUGACGCUGAGGAGCGAAAGCGUGGGGAGCGAUCCGG
rnacentral:rRNA from 1 species